AGCGAACGCUGGCGGCAGGCCUAACACAUGCAAGUCGAACGAACUCUUCGGAGUUAGUGGCGGACGGGUGAGUAACACGUGGGAACGUGCCUUUUGGUUCGGAAUAACUCAGGGAAACUUGUGCUAAUACCGAAUGUGCCCUUCGGGGGAAAGAUUUAUCGCCAUUAGAGCGGCCCGCGUCUGAUUAGCUAGUUGGUGAGGUAACGGCUCACCAAGGCGACGAUCAGUAGCUGGUCUGAGAGGAUGACCAGCCACACUGGGACUGAGACACGGCCCAGACUCCUACGGGAGGCAGCAGUGGGGAAUCUUGCGCAAUGGGCGAAAGCCUGACGCAGCCAUGCCGCGUGAAUGAUGAAGGUCUUAGGAUUGUAUAAUUCUUUCACCGGGGACGAUAAUGACGGUACCCGGAGAAGAAGCCCCGGCUAACUUCGUG
rnacentral:rRNA from 1 species